UACAGAGGUCCCGAGCGUUGUUCGGAUUCAUUGGGCGUAAAGGGUGCGUAGGCGGCGGGGCAAGUCUGAUGUGAAAUCCCGGGGCUCAACCCCGGAACUGCAUUGGAUACUGCCUUGCUAGAGUACUGGAGAGGGAACUGGAAUUUACGGUGUAGCAGUGAAAUGCGUAGAGAUCGUAAGGAAGGCCAGUGGCGAAGGCGAGUUCCUGGACAGUGACUGACGCUGAGGCACGAAGGCCAGGGGAGCAAACAGG
rnacentral:rRNA from 1 species